UCUUAUGGAUGAACAAAGAAAGUGGUUUCCGAAGAUAGAAUCUACUCGUGGUGAAGAUGCUGUGAA
rnacentral:pre_miRNA from 1 species